UAUAUGCCCUAUUAAACCCCUACACUAAUAUUAUAAAUAUAAAUGUUUAUAUGUGCAAAUAUGUAUAAGUUUGCUAUAAACAUGAAACACUGACAUCCAGAUAGUAGGUACGCCAGCUCAAUAUCAGAAAGAUUUCAGGAAAAGAAGGCAUGUAUGAUAUUUCUACUUUCUAUUUCUAUAUAUAGACAACAGUGUAAGACCAAUAAAGUAUACCUUUAAGUCAGUGACCUUUUCAUGAUGCA
rnacentral:lncRNA from 1 species